rnacentral:rRNA from 1 species
UGCAAGUCGAACGAACUCUGGUAUUGAUUGGUGCUUGCAUCAUGAUUUACAUUUGAGUGAGUGGCGAACUGGUGAGUAACACGUGGGAAACCUGCCCAGAAGCGGGGGAUAACACCUGGAAACAGAUGCUAAUACCGCAUAACAACUUGGACCGCAUGGUCCGAGUUUGAAAGAUGGCUUCGGCUAUCACUUUUGGAUGGUCCCGCGGCGUAUUAGCUAGAUGGUGGGGUAACGGCUCACCAUGGCAAUGAUACGUAGCCGACCUGAGAGGGUAAUCGGCCACAUUGGGACUGAGACACGGCCCAAACUCCUACGGGAGGCAGCAGUAGGGAAUCUUCCACAAUGGACGAAAGUCUGAUGGAGCAACGCCGCGUGAGUGAAGAAGGGUUUCGGCUCGUAAAACUCUGUUGUUAAAGAAGAACAUAUCUGAGAGUAACUGUUCAGGUAUUGACGGUAUUUAACCAGAAAGCCACGGCUAACUACGUGCCAGCAGCCGCGGUAAUACGUAGGUGGCAAGCGUUGUCCGGAUUUAUUGGGCGUAAAGCGAGCGCAGGCGGUUUUUUAAGUCUGAUGUGAAAGCCUUCGGCUCAACCGAAGAAGUGCAUCGGAAACUGGGAAACUUGAGUGCAGAAGAGGACAGUGGAACUCCAUGUGUAGCGGUGAAAUGCGUAGAUAUAUGGAAGAACACCAGUGGCGAAGGCGGCUGUCUGGUCUGUAACUGACGCUGAGGCUCGAAAGUAUGGGUAGCAAACAGGAUUAGAUACCCUGGUAGUCCAUACCGUAAACGAUGAAUGCUAAGUGUUGGAGGGUUUCCGCCCUUCAGUGCUGCAGCUAACGCAUUAAGCAUUCCGCCUGGGGAGUACGGCCGCAAGGCUGAAACUCAAAGGAAUUGACGGGGGCCCGCACAAGCGGUGGAGCAUGUGGUUUAAUUCGAAGCUACGCGAAGAACCUUACCAGGUCUUGACAUACUAUGCAAAUCUAAGAGAUUAGACGUUCCCUUCGGGGACAUGGAUACAGGUGGUGCAUGGUUGUCGUCAGCUCGUGUCGUGAGAUGUUGGGUUAAGUCCCGCAACGAGCGCAACCCUUAUUAUCAGUUGCCAGCAUUAAGUUGGGCACUCUGGUGAGACUGCCGGUGACAAACCGGAGGAAGGUGGGGAUGACGUCAAAUCAUCAUGCCCCUUAUGACCUGGGCUACACACGUGCUACAAUGGAUGGUACAACGAGUUGCGAACUCGCGAGAGUAAGCUAAUCUCUUAAAGCCAUUCUCAGUUCGGAUUGUAGGCUGCAACUCGCCUACAUGAAGUCGGAAUCGCUAGUAAUCGCGGAUCAGCAUGCCGCGGUGAAUACGUUCCCGGGCCUUGUACACACCGCCCGUCACACCAUGAGAGUUUGUAACACCCAAAGUCGGUGGGGUACCUUUUAGGAACCA